rnacentral:rRNA from 1 species
CUGGCUCAGGACGAACGCUGGCGGCGUGCUUAACACAUGCAAGUCGAGCGAGUUGAUUCCCUUCGGGGAUGAAGCUAGCGGCGGACGGGUGAGUAACACGUGGGCAACCUGCCUUAUAGAGGGGGAUAGCCUUCCGAAAGGAAGAUUAAUACCGCAUAACAUCAGAUUAUCG